rnacentral:tRNA from 1 species
AAGAAGGUGGCAGAGUGGUUAUGCAGUUGGCUUGAAACCAAUAUAUGGGGGUUCAAUUCCUUCCUUUCUUG